rnacentral:rRNA from 1 species
UUACGGGAGGCAGCAGUAAGGAAUAUUGGUCAAUGGGGGCAACCCUGAACCAGCCAUGCCGCAUGCAGGAAGACGGCCCUACGGGUUGUAAACUGCUUUUAUACGGGAAUAAAUCACACUACGUGUAGUGUGUUGAAUGUACUGUAAGAAUAAGGAUCGGCUAACUCCGUGCCAGCAGCCGCGGUAAUA